GAUGAAGAACGUAGCGAAAUGCGAUACGUAAUGUGAAUUGCAAAUUCAGUGAAUCAUCGAGUCUUUGAACGCACAUUGCGCCCCCUGGUAUUCCGGGGGGCAUGCCUGUCCGAGCGUCAUUGCUGCCCUCAAGCACGGCUUGUGUGUUGGGCCCCGUCCUCCGAUCCCGGGGGACGGGCCCGAAAGGCAGCGGCGGCACCGCGUCCGGUCCUCGAGCGUAUGGGGCUUUGUCACCCGCUCUGUAGGCCCGGCCGGCGCUUGCCGAUCAACCCAAAUUUUUAUCCAGGUUGACCUCGGAUCAGGUAGGGAUACCUGCUGAACUUAAGCAUAUCAAUAAGCGGAGGA
rnacentral:misc_RNA from 1 species